CUCCUGGUCUCCUGGCUCUGUUCUAGCCCACACACGCAGUAAGGAGGGGCAGGAGGCUUCCCUCUGUCUUUAGUGAGUGGGGCCCCAUAGGAACAGGUUGCCUCAGCCCCUGAGUAUGUUCAUGGGCCAUUCUGGUCUGCUUACUUAUGUUUGGCGUCUCCUGGAUAUGGUACCCCUUCCUGCAGGAAACUUACCCAUCAAGAUAUUGCAGAAGCUGGAUAAAGUCCUUAAAUUCAAGGGUGGGCGUGGACGGAUGAAGUUGUGUUUGGUUUGUCAGAGACAGCAGAGCAAAUUCUGUAAUAAUAUGUGCAGUGAUAAUCACCUGGACCCCAGUUCUGACGUAGAAAUGAGGACAAAUGGCUACAACCACAAACCCAGACAUACUCAGAAGAAGAUAAAUGAGUAG
rnacentral:lncRNA from 1 species